GUGUAUACAUUCUAUAUACUCAUGCUCUCAUCAAACUCACCCUUAUUUCUUUUAGGGCUUGGCUGAUUAUAGUUUGAUCGUCCAUGAGGGGAGAAAGUGAACCUAGCCAAUCUCUGAAGCCAACAGACACAUACGUUAUCCAGGGUCACACGGUGGACCUUGGGAGUAGAAGAAAGCCAUCCACUACCAUCUUCCUGUCCCCUGUGGGUAGUCUGGGCUGAGCUAACUUCUGAGGCUCCCAAGGCUCUGUUUUACAGUUCCAUUUAUGAUGAUGUUUUAUGAAAAGG
rnacentral:lncRNA from 1 species